CCCGCACGCCGCCAGCCGGAGGGAUAUUU
rnacentral:rRNA from 1 species